GGAUCAAAUUCUGCCCAGUGUUUGAAAAGGCGGCUGGGCGAUUGAACAAUGGAUUUUUUGGAAAUAGUUUGUUCCAUCUGUAAUGAGGUGAAAGGGGAAAGAGAUAAGUCUCAGGUCAGGAUUGCCCUUCCCCCACUUCAUUCAUUCCCUAGUCCACAGGAUGGGCAUGUCCAGUCUGCCACCAGAGAGCAGCUAGCCAAGUCUAGUCUGUCCUGGGAAGAGGCAGGACUAAGUAUCAGGAUUUCUGCACCUUACUCAUGGCUCACUCCCUACCUUCGCCAUGGCUUGUCUCCCAGCCUCCUCCAUUGGUGAUGGGUCCUGCCCUGCUCUAGCCUGAGUGUUCUAGUGAUGAGUCACAGAGCUGGGGACAGAUGCAGGAAGGAGACAGGUGGGCUCCAGCCCACUGAUAAGCUAAGGAAAGUCUAGGAACCAAGAUUUAUCUGCCUCAUUCUGGGGCCCACACACCUUCCAAUUCAGAAAUCUUUGUCUUUUGCACAAAUCAGCUGACAGAAUUCUAAUGCCAAGAGGAAGGAACCACGGCACAAUUACAAGCAGAAACAGAUAGCUGUUCAAUAUCUGGGGCUCAUUCAUGGUCUUCUGGACUCCGCAGGGCCCGGGAAGCUCCACUUCUCUGCCUCUGCCCUCCACGGCAAAUAUAGCACUUCUCAGACACUCAGGCUGCCUCCCCUCCACAGCUGUUGCGGGGUACCUGUCUCCUCCCCUUCCUGCCGUGCCAGCCCCUGCCUCGGAGUUCACACACAGCGCCUGAGCUGGCACCAUUUGUGGUGGGCAUUUCACUCAGACUUUUAUGAACAUGAUCUCGCUUAUUAACAAGUGAUUUGUCCUUUCCUGGCCCUGGGAUUGGCUCCUUCUAAACUUCCGUACUUGCAAAGGUGCCAACCAGAAGGACUUGGAAGCCUAUGCUAGUUUGGAGCAUGCAAGAAUUUUCCUAAAAAUCUUUCCAGAAAUCUACUCUCUGUCAACACUACACUACAAUAUUGAAAAUGUAAGCAGACGUAUGGCCUCUCCCCAUCUCCCACUCUGCGACCUGCAGAUGAGGGAAAGCUUCAGCCAGAUUGGGAUUAAAAGACUCCUCUUUACUCUUGUGAUCAAAGCACACUACCAGCCACAAGCCGUGUCAGCAUCGCACCCUCCCGAUUCAGCCUGCUGACCGUUUGCCCAACAUUACUUCCACCGGAUUCUUAUAAAAUGUACAACCUACAUCUAACCGUGAGAAACAUCAAACCAACUCAGACUGGAGAACUGUCUAUAAAGGAGCUGUCAAGCCUCGACGUGAUGAAAGGCAAGAAAAGAAGUGUCACAGAGGAUGGAAAGCAGGACCUGGAGACACAAAUGUGUCAUUCCUGAAAAACGGGUUAAAAGCUCACAGAGGACCCACAGUUUGAUACAUGGCUUUUUACCCUAGUAAAUGUCAUUGUCUAGAUCAUUGUCUGCAGUUACAUCAUAGGAUGUUAACACUAGGGGAUCCUUGUAAAGGUAUUCGGGAACUCUUGUACCAUCGUUCAGAUGGCCUGAAAUUAUUUCAAAAUAAAUAGUUUGAGCCAGGCACGGUGGCACAUGGGUGUAAUCCCAGCACUUGAGGGGCAAAGGGAGGAGAAUCGGGAUUCAGGGGUACCCUCAAUUAUGUAUCAAAUGUAUGGCCAGCCUGAGCUACACGAGACCUUGUCUGACAAAGACAGAGAGAGACAGAAUGAGACAGGGGAGGGCAGGUAUGGUGGGGCAUAUAACCUAUAACCGUAGCACUCAGGAAGGAGUGAGGCAGGGGGAUCAAAUCCUCAAGACCAGACUAGGCUAAAUAAUGGGAGAUGCCAAGGAAAGAUGUUGGGGGUGGAAGGAGAGAACUAAGAAAA
ensembl:lncRNA